rnacentral:rRNA from 1 species
GACGAACGCUGGCGGCGUGCCUAAUACAUGCAAGUCGAGCGCUGAUUGCUUGGACUUGUACCAACUGGAUGAGCAGCGAACGGGUUAGUAACGCGUGGGGAAUGUUCCGGAGAGCGUGGCACAACGGGUGGAAACGAAUGCUAAGACCGCAUAAAAACUUGAAAAACAAGUGUUAGGUGUGAACGAUGCAUAUGCAUCACUUAAAGAUGAGCCCGCGUUCUAUUAGCUAGUUGGUGAGGUAAAGGCUCACCAAGGCGAUGAUACAUAGCCGACCUGAGAGGGUGAUCGGCCACAUUGGGACUGAGACACGGCCCAAACUCCUACGGGAGGCAGCAGUAGGGAAUCUUCCGCAAUGGGCGAAAGUCUGACCGAGCAACGCCGCGUGAGUGAAGAAGGUUUUCGGAUCGUAAAACUCUGUUGGUAGAGAAGAACGUUGAUGAGGGUAGAAAUAACAUCUAGUGACGGUAACAAACCAGAAAGCGACGGCUAACUACGUG